UACGGGGGGGAGCAAGCGUUGUUCGGAUUUACUGGGCGUAAAGAGCUCGUAGGCGGUUCGGCAAGUCGGAUGUGAAAUCUCCACGCUCAACGUGGAGGGGCCAUUCGAAACUGCCGUGACUCGAGUCCGGUAGGGGAGUGUGGAAUUCCCGGUGUAGCGGUGAAAUGCGCAGAUAUCGAGAGGAACACCUGCGGCGAAGGCGGGUUGCUGGGCUGACACUGACGCUGAUGCGCGAAAGCUAGGGGAGCGAACGGG
rnacentral:rRNA from 1 species